GACGUAGGGCGCGAGCGUUGUCCGGAUUUAUUGGGCGUAAAGAGCUCGUAGGCGGCUUGUCGCGUCGGCUGUGAAAGCCCGGGGCUCAACUCCGGAAUUGCCUUUAAGACUGCAUCGCUAGAAUUGUGGAGAGGUAAGUGGAAUUCCGAGUGUAGAGGUGAAAUUCGUAGAUAUUCGGAAGAACACCAGUGGCGAAGGCGACUUACUGGACACAUAUUGACGCUGAGGUGCGAAAGCGUGGGGAGCAAACAGG
rnacentral:rRNA from 1 species